AUACGUAGGUGGCAAGCGUUGUCCGGAAUUAUUGGGCGUAAAGGGCGCGCAGGCGGCGUCGUAAGUCGGUCUUAAAAGUGCGGGGCUUAACCCCGUGAGGGGACCGAAACUGCGAUGCUAGAGUAUCGGAGAGGAAAGCGGAAUUCCUAGUGUAGCGGUGAAAUGCGUAGAUAUUAGGAGGAACACCAGUGGCGAAAGCGGCUUUCUGGACGACAACUGACGCUGAGGCGCGAAAGCCAGGGGAGC
rnacentral:rRNA from 1 species